rnacentral:rRNA from 1 species
GACGAACGCUGGCGGCGUGCCUAAUACAUGCAAGUCGAACGCAGUGGGGACGGGUGAGUAACACGUGGGUAACCUCCCAUCAGAGGGGAUAACACUUGGAAACAGGGGCUAAACCGAUACUGAUGGAUGGACCCGCGGUGCAUUAGCUAGUUGGGGAGGUAACUGCUCACCAAGGCCACGAUGCAUAGCCGACCUGAGAGGUUGAUCCGCCACACUGGUACUUAGACACGGGCCAGACUCCGCCGGGCGGCAGCAGUCGGGAAUCUUCGGCAAUGUACGAAAGUCUGACCGAGCAACGCCGCGUGAGUUAAGAAGGUUUUCGGAUCGUAAAACUCUGUUGUUAGAGAAGCGGUAUCUAACCAGAAAGCCACGGCUAACUACUUGCCAGCCGCCGCGGUAAUAC